rnacentral:rRNA from 1 species
CCUACGGGAGGCAGCAGUAAGGAAUAUUGGACAAUGGCCGCAAGGCUGAUCCAGCCAUCCAGCGUGCAGGAAGAAGGCCCUAUGGGUUGUAAACUGCUUUUGUCAGGGAAUAAACCUGUGGAUUUACUCCGCAGCUGAAGGUACCUGAAGAAUAAGCACCGGCUAACUCCGUGCCAGCAGCCGCGGUAAUACGGAGGGUGCGAGCGUUAUCCGGAAUUACUGGGUUUAAAGGGUGCGUAGGCGGCGUUGUAAGUCAGGAGUGAAAGUUUGCGGCUCAACCGUAAAAUUGCUUUUGAUACUGCAAUGCUAGAAUCAGGAUGAGGUUAGCGGAAUGUGGCAUGUAGCGGUGAAAUGCAUAGAUAUGCCAUAGAACACCAAUUGCGAAGGCAGCUGGCUAGACCUGAAUUGACGCUGAGGCACGAAAGCGUGGGGAGCGAACAGGAUUAGAUACCCUGGUAGUCCACGCCCUAAACGAUGCUCACUCGACGUAUGGCGCUAGACGUUGUGCGUCCAAGGGAAACCGUUAAGUGAGCCACCUGGGGAGUACGACCGCAAGGUUGAAACUCAAAGGAAUUGACGG